GUUAAAAAAUAUUUGGCCUUCAUUUCCUUUCAAAUUGCACAUUUGGUGCACAUGCAAUUUGAGUUUGAGACCACUACUUUAAACUAUACAUCACAUAGGGCAUUUAGCAAAAUUAGCCAAAUAGAAAUUAAUUCAAUCUUCCAAUUGGAAAACCUGAAAUCAAUUUGCAUCUCUCAGAAAAUUUUGAGAUUCAUGUCAGGCUCAUUGAAUCUUUAUCUUGUACAGUUCAACAAACUUCCAUUAGUGUUUACUAAUGGAAGUCUGCAGAAUAGAAUAGUUAGUCAAACUGUGAUAGGCUUUAGAUUGCACAGCAGUUAAGUAAUGAGUGACUGAAAACCAGCAUUAAAAAAACUAAUCAUGGACAUAUCUGUGGAUUCUAAGCUAUAGUUUAUUGGA
rnacentral:lncRNA from 1 species